UUGAAGUCAGUCGUACCGGUGGGUAAUCAGCCUUUCGGCGUGAUUAUGUGGAGCGUGAGGUGAGUUAAACGCCCUUCAUGCCUGCAUAUUCGUGUUCUUUGGGUGUACUUACCCGCAUGGUAGGUUAACAUCAAUUUCGAACGUCAUAAAAUGGUUGGAGGAAUGUAGCUUCGAUCUCGUAUUGAAGUGUUAUAGCCUUCGGCAGAUGUGAUGAUCGGGAUUGAGGAUUGCAACGGAUACCCUUCGGGGCUACCCGUCUGAUCUCUGAAAGUUACUCUGGUGCCGAAAGCUCGCUUACGGUCAUCAAAGUUGACGUUCAACAGGUUAGAACGGGAUAAAUUCGUUAAGGAUGUUGAC
rnacentral:rRNA from 1 species